rnacentral:tRNA from 1 species
GGGAUUGUGGCUCAGUGGUAGAGUGCUUGCUUACCAUGCAUGAGGCACUGGAUUCAAUCCUC